rnacentral:rRNA from 1 species
GACGUAGGGCGCGAGCGUUGUCCGGAUUUAUUGGGCGUAAAGAGCUCGUAGGCGGCUUGUCGCGUCGUCCGUGAAAACCUGCAGCUCAACUGCAGGCUUGCGGUCGAUACGGGCAGACUAGAGGUAUGCAGGGGAGAACGGAAUUCCUGGUGUAGCGGUGAAAUGCGUAGAUAUCAUUUGGAACGCCAAUGGUGAAAACAGGUUGCUGGGAGUGUGCUGACGCUGAGACACGAAAGCCAGGGGAGCGAACGGG